rnacentral:sRNA from 1 species
GCCUGGUGUGGUGGCGCACACCUGUAAUCCCAGUGGCUCAGGAGGCUGAUACAGUAGGAUCGUGAGUUCAAAGCAGCUUCAGCAACCAUGAGGCGCAAAGCAACUCAAUAAGAUCCUGUCUCUA